GAAAAAUUAGUUAAAUAAUAAUAAUAGUUUGUCGGACUUUAGUUUCUAGUACUCUAGAAUUUUUCU
rnacentral:tRNA from 1 species